UGGUUGAGUCAAGGAGUAAACCAUCGUAGGGGUUUGUACUGUUAUUAAGUCAUGAUGACACUUUAGCUUGCACGUUGUGGCUAACUAAAACCAUUUCGUGCUAUAACUUUGGGAUCUGCUUUGAGAUGUGACUAAUUAAAUCAACUGUAAAUAGAACCGAAACAUGCCAAUAAACAGUGGAUGUCAUGUUCUCCUCAGGGACUGGCAACGAAGAAUGCGCUCGGCGAAAGCUAGGUAUCUAGAUCAGGGUGAAUUUGCAAAAGUCAAAUAAAUCAGAGUGGUUUACACUGACUCUGUUUGGACGCCCAUUGGACCUUCCAAAGGUCGGACACCUAAUCCUUAGGAUUUUUGUAGGGAGCUCAUAGAUCCAAGAUCUUCCGAAUAAAAUGGGCUGUGUUAGCAAAAUAUGUUUCUCAUAGCGAUGCCCGAAAACCGGAAACACCCACUUAUAGUGUAGCUGUAAAUUUUACGUUCUGGUGUUGGUACUUCUUCUCGUGACAAUGACAACCCUUACAAGAGUUUAAUGCUGGACAUUAGUAGUUGCUCUGCCUGUAUUCGUUUGCUCAUGGUGAAUAUCUCUAUGGAUGUUGUGUGUUACUUUGUACACAUUGAAUUACUUACAUCGUUUGCUAGUCAAACUUGUUGGUAUGUGUAGUGUAGAUUCAUA